GACGAACGCUGGCGGCGUGCCUAAUACAUGCAAGUAGAACGCUGAAGGAGGAGCUUGCUCUUCUGGAUGAGUUGCGAACUGGUGAGUAACGCGUAGGUAACCUGCCUGGUAGCGGGGGAUAACUAUUGGAAACGAUAGCUAAUACCGCAUAAGAGUAGAUGUUGCAUGACAUUUACUUAAAAGGUGCAAUUGCAUCACUACCAGAUGGACCUGCGUUGUAUUAGCUAGUUGGUGGGGUAACGGCUUACCAAGGCGACGAUACAUAGCCGACCUGAGAGGGUGAUCGGCCACACUGGGACUGAGACACGGCCCAGACUCCUACGGGAGGCAGCAGUAGGGAAUCUUCGGCAAUGGACGGAAGUCUGACCGAGCAACGCCGCGUGAGUGAAGAAGGUUUUCGGAUCGUAAAGCUCUGUUGUAAGAGAAGAACGAGUGUGAGAGUGGAAAGUUCACACUGUGACGGUAUCUUACCAGAAAGGGACGGCUAACUACGUG
rnacentral:rRNA from 1 species